AGUGAACGCUGGCGGUAGGCCUAACACAUGUAAGUCGAACGGAUGCACUGUAAGAGCUUGCCCUUACGGGUGGCGCGUGGCGGACGGGUGAGGUAUACAUCGGAAUCUACUUUUUCGUGGGGGCUCACGUUGGGUAACUCACGCUAAUACUGUAUACGACCUCAGGUUUUACGCAGGGGAUUUUCGGCACUUGCGUGAUUGUCUGAGCUGAUGUCGGAUUAAUUAGUUGGCGGGGUACUGCCCCACCAAGGCGACGCUUCUUAUCUGGUCUGAGAGGAUGAGCAGCCACACUGGAACUGCAACAAGGUCCAGACUCCUACGGGAGGCAGCAGUGGAGAAUAUUGGACAAUGGGCGCAAGCCUGAUCCAGCCAUACCGCGUGGGUGAAGAAGGCCUUCGGGUUGUAAAGCCCUUUUGUUGGGAAAGAAAAGCAGCAGGUUAAUACCCCGCUGUUCUGACGGUACCCAAAGAAUAAGCACCGGCUAACUUCGUG
rnacentral:rRNA from 1 species